rnacentral:rRNA from 1 species
UACGUAGGGGGCGAGCGUUGUUCGGAAUUAUUGGGCGUAAAGGGCGCGUAGGCGGUGCGGUAAGUCACCUGUGAAACCUCUGGGCUUAACUCAGAGCCUGCAGGCGAAACUGCCGUGCUGGAGUGUGGGAGAGGUGCGUGGAAUUCCCGGUGUAGCGGUGAAAUUCGUAGAUAUUCGCAAGAACACCAGCGGCGAAGGCGGCUCACUGGCCCGAUACUGACGCUGAGGCACGAAAGCGUGGGGAGCAAACAGG